rnacentral:rRNA from 1 species
UACGGGGGGGGUAAGCGUUGUUCGGAAUUACUGGGCGUAAAGGGCUCGUAGGCGGCCAACUAAGUCAGACGUGAAAUCCCUCAGCUUAACUGGGGAACUGCGUCUGAUACUGAGUGGCUUGAGUGCAGGAGAGGAACGCGGAAUUCCAGGUGUAGCGGUGAAAUGCGUAGAUAUCUGGAGGAACACCGGUGGCGAAGGCGGCGUUCUGGACUGUAACUGACACUGAGGCGCGAAAGCCAGGGGAGCAAACGGG